rnacentral:rRNA from 1 species
CCUACGGGAGGCAGUAGUGAGGAAUAUUGGUCAAUGGGCGAGAGCCUGAACCAGCCAAGUCGCGUGAGGGAGUACUGCCCUAUGGGUUGUAAACCUCUUUUGUCGGGGAGCAAAAGCCGGACGUGUCCGGCUGUGAGAGUACCCGAAGAAAAAGCAUCGGCUAACUCCGUGCCAGCAGCCGCGGUAAUACGGAGGAUGCGAGCGUUAUCCGGAUUUAUUGGGUUUAAAGGGUGCGCAGGCGGAUUUUUAAGUCAGCGGUAAAAUCGCGGGGCUCAACCCCAUCCAGCCGUUGAAACUGGGGAUCUAGAGUGUGCGAGAGGUAUGCGGAAUGCGUGGUGUAGCGGUGAAAUGCAUAGAUAUCACGCAGAACCCCGAUUGCGAAGGCAGCAUACCGGUGCACAACUGACGCUCAGGCACGAAAGCGUGGGUAUCGAACAGGAUUAGAUACCCUGGUAGUC